UUGUAUUUGAGAGUUUGAUCCUGGCUCAGGAUGAACGCUGGCGGCGUGCCUAACACAUGCAAGUUGAGCGAUUUACUUCGGUAAAGAGCGGCGGACGGGUGAGUAACGCGUGGGUAACCUACCCUGUACA
rnacentral:rRNA from 1 species